rnacentral:rRNA from 1 species
CCUACGGGAGGCAGCAGUAGGGAAUAUUGGGCAAUGGAGGCAACUCUGACCCAGCCAUGCCGCGUGCAGGAUGAAGGCGUUAUGCGUUGUAAACUGCUUUUAUAUAGGAAGAAAGAGUUCUUGCGAGAACAGUUGACGGUACUAUAUGAAUAAGCACCGGCUAACUCCGUGCCAGCAGCCGCGGUAAUACGGAGGGUGCAAGCGUUGUCCGGAUUUAUUGGGUUUAAAGGGUGCGUAGGCGGUUUAUUAAGUCAGUGGUGAAAGACGGUCGCUCAACGAUUGCAGUGCCAUUGAUACUGGUAGACUUGAGUGAGAUUGAGGUAGCUGGAAUGGAUAGUGUAGCGGUGAAAUGCAUAGAUAUUAUCCAGAACACCAAUUGCGUAGGCAAGUUACUAAGUCUCAACUGACGCUGAGGCACGAAAGUGUGGGGUAUCAAACAGGAUUAGAUACCCCUGGUAGUCCACACUGUAAACGAUANAUAACUAACUAGUUGGUCGUUCGGUUCGUAGUGGUACGAGAGAAAGUACGUUAAGUUAAUUACCUACCGUCGGGUAGGUACGGCCGGCCGACCGGUACGGAACGUACGAAACGGAAAGUUAGUACGGCGUGAGACGUAGCCGACGGACGACGACGAGGGGAGGUUAGG